GCAUUGUUCUGGUGUUUAGAAAGGACGGAAUCGUAGUGGUGGUGCUGCAGGAUCCAACUCUAGAGCACCCAUGGGACCGGUGUUUAGCUCAUUGGUGUACGAAGAAGAAUCCGAAAUGAGCUGCAAGGAAGAUUGAUGCGAUUCACGCCUUUGCUAGAGAAGGAGAAGUGGAGAAUCUAUUGAAAUGCAUAGAAAGUGGCAUACCAGUAAAUGCAAGAGAUAGUGAAGGCCGGACACCGUUGCAUUGGGUUAUAGACCGUGGCCACUUGAAUGUUGCUAAAGCUCUAGUUGAUAAGAACGCCGAUGUUCACGUAGAAAAGCAAACUUUGUUGACUUGUUACUCAAAGGAAAGUGUAUGCAUACCCUUCAGACCUAUACACUUGUUCUGCUGGGCAAUGCUCAUUUCACAAUCACCCGAAUUUCAGAUGCGAACAACAACUACUUUCUACUGUAUAUUGUCUUUUGUAACAAGUGUGUCAUAAUUA